UACGUAGGGUGCAAGCGUUAUCCGGAAUUAUUGGGCGUAAAGAGCUCGUAGGCGGUUUGUCGCGUCUGCUGUGAAAACUGGAGGCUCAACCUCCAGCCUGCAGUGGGUACGGGCAGACUAGAGUGCGGUAGGGGGAGAUUGGAAUUCCUGGUGUAGCGGUGGAAUGCGCAGAUAUCAGGAGGAACACCGAUGGCGAAGGCAGAUCUCUGGGCCGUAACUGACGCUGAGGAGCGAAAAGCAUGGGGGAGCGAACAGG
rnacentral:rRNA from 1 species